CUGUCCCUGGGUGGUGUCUCCAGGACUGUCCAACCUGAGAAUGUUGCAUCUCCUGGUCAAUCUCAGGUUUGUCAGCCCGUGAGGUGCUGCCCCUUCCCCAGCA
rnacentral:pre_miRNA from 13 species